rnacentral:rRNA from 1 species
UACGUAGGCAGCAAGCGUUGUUCGGAGUUACUGGGCGUAAAGGGUGCGUAGGCGGUCCUAUAAGUAUGGUGUGAAAUCUCCCGGCUUAACUGGGAGGGUGCGCUAUAGACUGUGGGACUAGAGUGUGGGAGAGGAAAGUGGAAUUCCUGGUGUAGCGGUGAAAUGCGUAGAUAUCAGGAGGAACACCGGUGGUGAUAACGCUUUCUG